CGUGCGCUGCGGUACACGAACGACUUUCUCACCGAUGCUCUCCAUCAUCAUCACCACCAUCACACACACGCGCACACACACACACACACAAUAGGGAGGGAUACCGGAGUAUAGGUAGGGCUACAGCGGCAGACAGACAGAUGUGCGAUGCUCAGACUCAGCCGCGGGGCCGUUGUCCCUCGCCCGCGCGAGGCUAAACUUUUACCGCCGUCGCGUCUCUUCGCCGUGACCGCGCAUGAGCUGUCAUUGAUGCCCUAACGCCGCCGCUCGCACACCUGCUUCUGUUUCCCUCCUUUUCUUUUUUUGGGGUCUGUCUUCUUCAAUGAUAAUUGCUGCCAGCGGACCAGGAGCGCUGCAGCAGAAACGGGGGCUGAAGUGGCGAUAGAUCCUGUUGAAUUGAGGCAAGACGUCGAGACCGCAGCCCCCCAAAAAAGACAAAAAAAAGAAAAGUGUCCUCCACGGGAGUGCGUCAGAGCACGGAUGGAUAUAGUGGAUGAUGUGGCCGCUGGUUGGAUACGACGAGGGAUUUGUGAUAUUACCCCCCCAAAUCAAGACGGGAAUUUGGGCAGGAGCGAAGAACUGCAUCCUCACCUAGCCUAGCUCCCCUCCUCCUCCUCCUGGAGCAGAUUUGUUUGUAGGGGGGCUGAGGCGAUGUCGUUUGGCUCCUUUUCACAUAGAGCGUCAGCGGAAUAAAAGUCUUUCACAUUCACCGGAGCUCCACAAUAUAACAGCAAGGAUCCAGUUGUUGUUAUUUUUAUUUUUUUUUUCAUUUUCUUGAAUCUCAUCACAUAAAAUGGCAACCAGGAGUGACCACGGGAGGAUCAAAAGACGCAUUCGGGCGCCAGCCGCGGCCGUGGAGAAAUUAACCACCUGAUGGGCACCGGAGGACGCGAGCACAGACUGUUUCGGUUGUAGCUUGUUGACUCGGUGAUUUAUAAUGCUCAACAAAUAGAAGGGGCGCUGCGAGUUUGACACAGAGCGCCUGCGUAACAGGCUACAUGCCACCGGCCCUCACGUUUUUUUGUGUUUUGUUUAUGGUAAUGAUGUCAUGAAAUAUCAGGGGCCUGUGUGCCGACACGGGAAGACAGGCUGAUCGAUGUCUCCUGUCACGUAUGAGUCGCCUCGUGGACUGCUCUCAGCAUGGACCUAAUUGAGGUGUGUUUGUUGUUCUGACGUUCUCAUAUUCACAACUGAUUGGUCGAACCGGUUCAUGCCUCAUUUUCUCUCUCUGCGCGCGCCGAGCUGCAACUUUUAUCGGCUGGCCUGCAUCCACGUCGCCCCGAGGCGGUUCCUGUAGCGCUCGCGGACCGAACCCGCUCAUUGACUGUGUAAAAAAAGAAAAAUGGAGUUUGCCAUGGUAGGUGCGGACAACGGGUGCAAUAGUCAACUGCCUUACGGAUAUGCCCACGCUCGCGCACGGGAGCGCCAGGCUGCCCAGUCGCGAGCGGCGGCGGCGGCGGCGGCUGCAGCGGCUGCAGCGGCCGCUGCCGAAGGUGGGUCCGGUGCGGAAGAAGGCGGCGGCUGCGCGGGUUCCACCUCCACCUCCUCCUCGAGCGCUCAUCUCCUCAACAACCGCCAGCAUCAGUCUCGCGCCGCCUCCUCCUCCGCGAACGCCAACAUCAGCAGCAGCGGUACCGCCUCGCGCCCCUCCUCCUCCACCUCCUCCUCCUCCUCCUCCUCCUCGCAGCACCAGCAGGAGCCCGAGCAGCAGCACAGAGUUCUCAGAGAGCGGAAAAAGCAGCGCGGCGUCGGACGCUGGAGACGCAGCCGGACGACUCUCGGCGGGGACCUGCGCCACUCGGAGCUGGCACUGCUCGGAUCCGAGGAGGACAUGAUGAUAGAGGAGGAGGCCGAGGGAGCCGAGGAAGAGGAGGAGGCAGAGGAGGAGGCGGAGGAGGAGGGGGAGGAGGAGGAGUACCGGGGAAGCAAGAGGUCGAGUUUUCUGUGUAACAUGGAUGAUGAGGAGGAGACCGCCUCGCUCACCGACCGGCGCCCGCAUUCCGGAUACGAGAACGUUUACAGCGAGUGCGGCUGCUGCGAGAGAGUCGUCAUCAACGUGUCGGGUCUGAAGUUUGAAACUCAGUUCAAGACUCUCGCGCAGUUCCCGGACACUCUCCUGGGGGACCCCGACAAGCGAAUCAGGUACUUCGACCCGCUGAGGAACGAGUACUUCUUCGACCGGAACCGGCCGAGUUUCGACGCCAUUCUCUACUAUUACCAGUCGGGCGGGCGGUUGAAAAGACCCGCGAACGUGCCGUUCGACAUCUUCUCCGAAGAGGUGAAGUUUUACGAACUCGGGGACGAGGCGAUCCUGAAGUUUCGGGAGGACGAGGGCUUCGUGAAAGAGGAGGAGAAGCCUCUGCCGGAGGACGAGUUCAAGCGCCAGAUCUGGCUGCUCUUCGAGUACCCGGAGAGCUCGACCCCCGCCAGGGGGAUAGCGGUGGUGUCCGUGCUGGUCAUAGUGAUUUCUAUUGUCAUCUUCUGCAUGGAGACGCUGCCGGAGUUCAGGGACGAGAAGGAGUACCUACAGACACGAGUCAACUCCACGCAGCCGGACCACGGGUUCACUCCUUUCAACGACCCGUUUUUCCUCGUGGAGACGGUCUGCAUCAUCUGGUUCUCCUUUGAGUUUGUAGUCCGCUUCUUCGCGUGUCCCAGCAAGACGGCUUUCUUUAAAAACAUUAUGAACUCAAUAGACGUUGUAUCCAUUUUGCCUUAUUUCAUAACUCUCGGCACGGACCUGGCGCAGCACCAAGACAACGGGCAGCAGGCGAUGAGCUUCGCCAUCCUGAGAAUAAUCCGCCUCGUGCGGGUGUUCCGCAUCUUCAAGCUGUCCCGGCACUCCAAGGGGCUGCAGAUCCUGGGUCACACCCUGCGCGCCAGCAUGCGGGAGCUGGCCCUCCUCAUCUUCUUCCUCGUCAUCGGCGUCAUCCUGUUCUCCAGCGCGGUGUACUUCGCCGAGGCGGACGAGCCCACCUCGCAGUUCACGAGCAUCCCCGACGCCUUCUGGUGGGCCGUGGUGACCAUGACCACGGUGGGCUACGGCGACAUGAAGCCCAUCACCGUCGGCGGGAAGAUCGUGGGCUCGCUCUGCGCGAUCGCGGGCGUGCUGACCAUCGCGCUCCCGGUGCCGGUCAUCGUGUCCAACUUCAACUACUUUUACCACAGGGAGACCGACAACGACGACCAGGCGCCGGCGGUGGUGGAGAGCUUGCCGCCGGGCUGCCCGUAUUUCCCGGACUUUUUACGGAAGUUUAAAGGCUCGCCUACGGGCUCCUCGCUGGGCGAUAAGGCGGAGUACAUGGAGAUGGAGGAGGGGGUGACGGAGUCGCUUUGCGGGCUGGACAAGAGCCCCAGUAAAGGAAACGGCACAGACAUAGGCAGGAGAAACAGUACGAACUCAAAGUCCAUUCAGACUGACGUGUGAUUACAAGUAGAGUCUUUACCCCCCCCCCCCCCCCCUCUUUUUUUCCUUAAAAAAAGAAAACGCCCUAUAAAGAUACCGUAUGCCCAACAGCAGGUGGUCCAAACACAAGUUUUACGCACGCGCCUGAGACCCACACACACACGCACAAACGCACACACACACAGGUCACCAAUUGGCAGGUUUCAUUCUCUCCAUCUCAGACUAGUUUCUCCCCAAAAAAGCUCUGCACAAGCUUUAGGAACAAUUAUGAUCAAUAUUUGAUGAUUCGUUAGUCGGCUAAACCUUCCGAAUCUGACACAAAAACUCAAAGUCCAGACAAGACAGGCUAUGCAUUCGCACUUUAUGAGUUCCAUCUGUCAAUAACAGGAAGGGUAGGGAUGAUCGUGUUUUUUUUGUUUUUUUUUGCUGUUAUGCAAUACAUUUAAAAUAAAAUAAAUAAAUGUUUGCACUAAUGUAGAAUUUUGCGCUGGUUUUUAUUUCAGAGACAGAAACUGUAGGUCAUGCAAAUGGCAAUACAUUAGUCCUCCUCUGACCACUUAGCUGAAGAAUGCUGGAGUAACUUCCUCGAAGAGAGAGCAAACUAAGGAUAUUAAUAACCUCUCUUAUGCGCUGCCAAUAAAAAUUGGACUCCAAUAAAGGAAAAAAGCCCGAGACAGAUAACAAACUUUUGCGAGUGAUCCAACACUUAAAAAGCUCAUUGACAAAGACAUAGCAGUCAUCAAAUAAACCAGCGCUACAGUUAUUUCUAUGACAUCUACACAAAUAUGUUUCUUUUUUUCCCCAAACACAAAGAAAAAGCCUUGUGUCGUUGACCCACUAUGAGAGCUAAGCACAGGAAACAGAGUUAAAAACAUAUAAAUAAAUGGCUGGAUAAAUGACUUUUCCCCGCCAGGUUUUUCUACGGACAGGCUUGGAGCCUUGAGUUCCCCCCCAGCUUCAUUUAAACCACCUCAAAAAUGACAAUAUCCCUUUACACGGACGCAGAUGGAAAGCUAUAGCAAAAAAACGACUCUGUUGCGGAAACUCAUCGGAUGAGGUUGGGUGGGGGGGGUUUGCGAGCAACUUCCUCUCCUGUCCGCUUGGAGCACAAAGUAUUCUUUUUUUUCCACUCAAGAGGACUACGUGAUCAUCUCCGAGCUCAGAGGACCUCCGGGAUGUGGACGUCUUCCAAAGCGCUGCCGGUUACAGGGAGGAGGAUCACCCUCCCCACCUCCCCCACCUCAUCUCUGGAAAUCGCAGCGAGCAAGCAAAACAUUGUGACUGGUUCACCUCGAGCACGAGCGGAGACUGGAAUAAAAAUGAAAAAAGCAACAACGACCCGGACGGGACCUCGGCACUUGGAACAAGUGGGAGCUGCUGUGACAUCGGUAAAGAAACCCCGGAGGGUUGAGACUGGAGUUGGUGAAUGAGUAAGUCGUGGCCCAAAAUGAUUGCCUUAAUUACUACGCAUAUACAGAUGUACGAAGUGAUGAAACACAAGAGACUUAUAGUUCAGAGUUCAAAAGUUGUUUUUCUUUACAUGUGGGAAAAAAAAAGUGUCUUGUAAGGAACAGAUGUGAAUAUUUUAAUAUGAUAGAGAUAACGUUUGGUUGUAACGUCGACAUAAUGUUUUAGUUGGGUCGGCUUCGUUAGGUGUCAUCGGUUACUAAAGUGGUGAGUUUGCUCUCUGCUCAUGCGCAGUCAGCAGUGCGACUUAAUCUAUUUUUUAUCUCGUUUCAUAUUGUCAACCAAACAAGGCUGGCCUGAGUCGCUCACUCAAACGCUGGCGACAAAACUCUUAAUUCACAUGGUGUCAUAACACAUGGAAAUCCUCAUUCAGACGGUGUAUAGAGGGCUGGGAGGGAAAUACGAGACAUAUAUACAUAUAUAUAUAUAUAUACAUAUAUAUAUAUGUAUAUAUAUAUUGACUGGCUCAAUGCGACCCACUGAAAUAUAUCAGAAGAAUAUCCUCUUACAUUAAGAUCCACUUACACUAAAGCAAAGAUGUCAGGCACAUAAACACCAUCAUAAAUAUCUGCCACACUCACUUUCUAUCAGAGGGGCAGCGGGUGAACCUCGCCGGGCUUUCACCGUCAAGACGAAAUACCUUUAGGUUGUUUUCCUCAGAUGCAAAUUUAGAGCUGACCAGCUGCUUUGUUGAUAUGUUUUCACUUUAACUGUAUGCAAAAGUAACAUGGACGUGUGUUAUAUAUUUUUUUAAACCUAGCCUUGAUAAUUACAUAACCAAAGGUGAAACCCUGAAUUUAUUGUAUGUUGUGGACUUCUGGAAAAUGUUGUGAUAGAUUGCACACUGAAUAGGGAAAAAAAAAAUGUAAAUACCCGACAUUUAUACUUGUGUGUCCUACGAUGUGUUGCAGAUAAGAGUAAUUUGAGACUUUAUACUUUCUUUGACUGUUAUGAGCAUCAACCAUAAUCACCCGUGUUCGGUUCGUCCUCGCUGAUACAAUCACGUUGUUGUGAAUGCUGCUCCAACAUCCUUCAUCCAUCUUGUUAGUUGUUUUUAUUCUUCUUUCUUUUAUUUAUAUAUAUUUUUUUUACAUACUGCACAUUAAAAAUCAACCUAUUCAUUCAUUUGACGUACUCAAACAUGAGGUUUGUGCAGUUUUGUCAGAGAAGCAGUGGAUUUUGUUACGUCUCUUAGACCUGCCAUGUUGCCCCGUGAAUGAAAUGAUUAGAAGUUGCCAGUAUUUUAGCCUUUGGAAGUAGUAUAAAUAUAUAUAUCACAUAUUUUAAUGAAGACUAUGCUUUAUUUUCCUACAUUUCCCUUAAAUACUGUGUUAGCUAUAAUUGCAUUAGAGCUCUGGAUCUACGUGUCUUUUCCCUCUACUCCUAAAGAAAAUCCAAAGUUCACAGUUUUGCUUCUUUUUUGUCCUGAAAGUUUGUAUCUGUAAUUACCUCAAUAAUAUAUCCCUCAGAAAAGCUGUUUACUGAAUGUUCCAGAUGUUUCCUUAGUAUCAGAAAAAAAGACUUGCAAAAUAACCACAAUAGUUUUGAAAUAGACGUCAAUAGUUUACUUGGGAAAUCCUUAUGGGAGGAUGUUUUUAUUGGGAAGUUUUUCAUUUCCGCGUACCAAAAGUUUAAACAGGAACACCAGAAUAAUCUGCACAUUGUUCUUUAAAGAGUUACAUGACGAUAAGAGUAAGACAUGAUGAAUCUAAAUUGAAUGACAGUGGAUUAUAAUAUCAGGUUGGACUGUAGUUUUCACUUACAUGUCACUUACAUUGUCUUACCUUUAACCCCUCCACUUCCAGUCUUUAUGCUAAGCUAAGCUAAUAGGCUGCUGGCUGUAGAGACAUAUUUACUGUACGGACAUGAGAGUGGUGUGGUUUCUGUUGGCCAACUGGCCAUAAGACUGAGAACCAGCGUGUUUACCCAGACGUUUAAAAGGUCCAGUCUGUGGGAUUGAGCUUAGAUUUCUGUUUGAUAACCAGUUGGUUUACAUCAAAUUUAUUGAUAUUCAUUACAUUUUCUCAUUCAUUGUUGAUAUUUUUUUCCUCCACCGUAUGAUUAGACACUUUUUCUGAUGACAAACUGUGGCUAAUUCAGAAAAACAGAGUUCAGAAAAUCCCCUAAAUCCUGCCCACUGGACCUUUGAGAGAUACUUUAAAUGACAAUAUAACCAGUAUAACUGUCUGUAGAUAUAUAUUUUCAGAAGUGAUUUUUAUUACACUAAUCUUGUCAGAUCACGAGCCCCAAGCACAAGCUGUUCCAGGACCUGAGGGGCUCGGGCCGGCAGAGAUCUCAGCUCUGACCUGGAGUUCUGAUUUGGGAACAGUCGGUCAGGGGUGGGGGGGGCGGCCUGAAUGUUGGCUCCCAUAAAGAUCUGAGAUGUAGCAAGCCCAGAUGCACAACUAUCAUAUACCAACAGCCAACAGUAGCCAGAAGCUGCGCUGCUGUAACAGACACAGAUGAAUUUGUGGGAGACGAAUUUAAUCUAUCUAGCGACACGUUCAGCUAAAGUUGGGUAUUAUCACGAAGCAGCACAAAAGACGCUAAGCCAAAGAGUAGUAUUUGCCCACAGGUUAUCGGAGAGAACGAGAACAGGAUCAGGCUGAUUGAUCCUCCAGGCAACACAUCCAAUCACGCAGAACAAACAAGCACCAAAGGAGACUGAAGGGAAAUCUGUUUAACUGGACAGCCUCUAACCCAUUUCCUCAUUCUAUGAAUUAAAAAUCAUUUAUGUGGUUCGAGGCUGCAAUUAUGUCAAGUUCACUUGAAGCUGCUUUUAUCAGGAGAUCAGCAGCAACCCGGAGAAGGGCAGUGUGCUGUAAUGUAGGAAGCAGGGAAGAUAAUAAAGGUCGAUUUUUAAGCAGAUUGAAAUAGUACAGGAAGAAAAGUAAUUUACCCUCGUGUGUGAGCUGAAUGAGAAUAAGAAAAGGUCGUAAUCCACAUUUAUCCACACGGAUAUUUCUCACGAGGUCAUCCGGUUGGAAUGAGUGGGAAAAGAUUAGUCGGAAAUAUCUAACACAAGAAGACUAAACAACAAAUCACAGUUUUCUCUGCUGCUGAAUAGUAAUAACGUCUGUGAUGCUGUCGUGAUUCAGCCAAUGACCUGCCGGGAGGUCAACAUUAGAUAAUACACGAAACAAGGUGAGAGAAUGUUUUAAUAUGAUCACCUCCGGGUUGGAAAACUCAGCAGGGACUAUACGUAUAAUAUGUUGAGCUAAAGUCAGUGUCACAGCUACUGACCAGAGGAGAUUCCCCCAACGCAGUUUAACUUAUUUCAAAAGGAAAUUCUUGUUGGCGAUUUCUAUCACGUUAAGGACUAUCUCGGCGUUCACAUCGUGAGAAACAGCUUCUCUGUUGAAGCUCAUGUAUAUUUCUGAGGCCUAAACGACUCUGAGACUCAAAUCCUCUGAGCUCUCCACAGAGCGGCUAUAGGCAAGAUUAACUUUAAGAUGAAUGCCUCCCCAAAUCAAUAGCAAAAGGAUUCCUUCUAAAACAACAACAACAACAACCAAUUGACCACAGAUCUAAAGCCUCGCAGAGCAGCCCAGUGUGAUUUAGUGAUGUACUACAUUUUAUGCUGCUUUCAGUGUUGCCAGAUUUGACACAAAACUGUCCCAUUUCAGUUCCAUGUAUAAAACAGGUGCUAGGAAGCAGCCUCAGGGUUGUAUUUUUACAAUUAGGCAAACCCCAAACCAGCCAAAACAAGGUUUUAAUAAUGAAAAAGGAGCGAUCGAACAUUUAAAUACUAACUUCUAAUAAGAGUUGUAACCUUUUGCAGGUCAUUUAUCACAGAGGUACGACCAGAUAGUAACUUAAAGUUACAAUCUUGAAGAUCUCCACUUUGUCUCUCCGAUGGCGAUAAGCGGUACAUGAAGGUGUGUUUUGGGAUCUCACUUCCCAGAGAUCAAAACCAUGUCGAGAAUUCCUGGGAAUGACGGCCAACAGACACCCAAGUUCGUAAAACUGCAAAUGCUCAACAACCAUUGUGUUACCUCCAUAGAAAUAGAAUAGGAGUAGAACGGACAUUGAACUGUUCUCCGUGGUCAUGUGACUAGUGCAAAAGAAAAUGGCGUUUGUUGUUAGUUGUUAGAUGACAACACACGUCAGUAAAGUAAAGUGUAGUUGCAGCUCGCCGGGAAAGAGCGGACGCAGCUCUGGAGACGGAUAGCCGGCUCCUUUUCCGUAACCAGUGUAGCAUUACAGCAUGGGGGAAUUAGCAACCUGGCUGACUAGCCAGCUAACCGCUAGUUAACUAUUUAGCUUGUUAAUUCCACCAUGCUGUAAUGCUACACUGGUUACAGAAAGUCGGUCGUAAUGGCAACGGUUUGGACCAUCCUGCUACUUUAAUAUGAAUGAGAAUGUCUGUUCUACUACUAUUCUAUUUCUAUUACCUCAUUCAGCGAUGGACAAUGACUUGACAGACAUUUAUCUUAAAGAAAAUUUUAAAUAUUAUUACAUUAACUUGGAAAUAAAAGGUUGUACCUAGUUGUUGUGAGCGGAAAUUACAUUUGUUUUUAUUGAUCAUCUGUUAUCCAUCGCUACUAAAAUAGUCACAGAUGGUACAAAAAUUGUCCCAAAUCAUCCCAAGCCGCCCAAGACAAUUUGUUUUCUGCCCAAUUAAAUAAAAAGUGGCCAAACUGGAUGGAAGACCGCCCAAUCUGGCAACACUGACUGCCUUUGCCCGCAGUGAUCAGGAUGGAUAUGUUGGUACAAAACCAACUGUUAACACAUCGGAGUUUGUGAACUGAAUUUGGUUUAAAAGAAAUCUCACUUUUAAUGUUUCUUGUCUCCAGCAGCUGAGGGGCAUCUUAAACAACAACAACCUGGCUAAGCCCAAUAUCUUCACAUUGCACACAAGCAGCACUGUCGACGUUUCGGUAUGGCUCUGUUUGGCAUCACGUACCACAGAUAUAUACAUAAAAGAAGAGUAUCGCAUUAGUCUGAGGAUGAAGACUUGAGUGUUUACUGUAACAUCCACAGUGUUAAAUAACACCAGGAACCCGUUUUAUGUCUUAAUCUC